ensembl:lncRNA
AGUGAAUGUCACAGCUAGUGAAUUUCAGAGAUUUUCUCUCUUCCUGAGCGCCUCCAUUCAGUUUCCUGGUUCACAGCGCUGUAAAUGUUCCUUUCUCCUAAGAGCCUCAGAUUUGGUCAGCGAGUUCGCGGAACCUUAUCUGUGCUAUUCACGAGAAGCUAUGCAGCGUCUUUGCUGUCAGCCUUUAUUAUCUUUCAGACAGAAGUAUCUGCCUCCUUUUGGAGUCAGACAGCCUGGCUUCGCCAGUAACUGCAUGACCUCGAGCAAGUUACUUAACCUCCCAACUCUCUUUCCUCGUGUGUAAAAUGUGAGUAAUGUGCCAGUAAUCCGUUUACUGCCCGUUAGCAACAUGUUCACCUUCCCUACCUGCUCUGCAGCUCUGACUGGACCCCGAGCCUUUCUCGCUCCGAUUUCACAUAAAAGUGUGAUCACACAUUGUCUUCCGCUACCUGACAUUUCACUGAGCGUAAUGCCAUCAAGAUCCAUCCAUGUUGCCACAAUUGGUACCUACUAUGUGACAGACUCUGAGACUACAAAGACACGUGGCCUCUAGAAUGGGAUAAAAUGACAACCAGGUGGCUUGGGAUCAUCAAUGGUCACCACUGUAGAUUGAACCUGAGCUAAUUCUUGCUGGAAUAGUUGUCAGGAAGACUUUUUCUCUACACCUCCUCUUUCUCCUAACUCAAAUAUAUCUCCCCACU